ACCUGGUUGAUUCUGCCAGGGGUCAUAUGCUCGUUUCAAAGACUAAGCCAUGCAUGUCUGGGUUCAAAACAAGAGUUGAAACUGCGAAGGGCUCAGUAAAUCAGUUAUAGUCACUUCAAGAAUCGAACCUACGGAUAACUGCGGGAAAGCUGCAGCUAAUACGUAAACAACCCAGCGGCCAUCGCUGGCUGGGUGCAUUUGUUGGCCAAGUAUUUUUGAGUCUUCGAGCAAUACUGGGCCGUGAGUAAGAGCAAAUGCAAAACCCCCCGUUUUAGAAGGGGGAGUGGCUUGAUGGAAUUUCUGCCCCAUCAUCUUGUUGGCACGGUAGUGGCGAGCCAAUGAAGGCACGGGUAACGGGGAAUCUGGGUUCGAUUCCGGAGAGGGAGCCUGAGAAAUAGCUACCACAUCCAAGGACGGCAGCAGGCGCGCAAAUUACCCAAUCUCAACGCUAGGAGGUAGUGACGAGAAAUUCAACAAGCCGAAACCUCCUCGAGAUAUCGACUAGAAUGAAUGUAACAUAGAGCCGUCAAUGAUGAGCUACUGGAGGGCAAGCCUGGUGCCAGCAGCCGCGGUAAUUCCAGCUCCAGUAGUGUAUAUCAGCAUUGUUGCGCUUAAAAAGCUCGUAGUUGGAUUUUAUGGCAGCCGCCAGGAGUGGGCGGGUCGAUAGUUGGGUUCUUUACAGUUUCUCCCUGACUUGGCCCGCCUAUUUUAUAUUUUUUUAUAUUCUACAGUUGCCCGUGGGUGUUGCGGCUAGGGUUUCUGAUUAAAUUUACCUAGUUUGGGCGCGGCUAGAUGUGGAAAGAUGUAGAAUCGAGUGCGACUGUCAGCAAUUGCCGGGUCGACAAAAAUAUUUUUUUUGAGAUGCCGGCGAACCGACGCCAUGAGUAAAACGUAGUGUUUCUAGGCGGGCAAAGCCCGAGUGUAGUAGCAUGGGACAUGAUUUUGGGGAUUGGUGCCAUAAAUUGGAGGGGAGUGUAUUUUUUAAAUUAUUGCUCCCCACCAAAACUCGGCACCAGAAAACUCAAGUUAAUACAAACACCGGGGGGCAACGGGACUUUGUGGCGAGAGGUUAUAUUCAUAGACCCACGAAUGACCGCCAAAGGCGAAAGCAUUUGCCAAGAGUGUCUUGAUUAAUAAAGAACGAAGGUUUGAGGAUCCAAGACGAUUAGAUACCGUCGUAGUUUUUACAGAAAACGCUGCCAGCGAAGGCCUAGGGCAGUACUUUGCCCCAGGAGCUACGGUAGAUUGACUACUAUAAACAAACUGACUACCCUAGGCCUGAAGGGUAACCUAGAGCCGUGGGCUGCUGGGAGAAUAUCGCUGCAAGGCUGAAAUUUAAAGAAAUUGACGGAGAGGCACCACCAGGAGUGGAGCUUGCGGCUUAAUUCGACUCAACACGGGCAAACUGACCAGGUCCUGACAUGUGGAGGAGCGACUGGCUGGCGGCUAUUCGUGAUUAUAUGUGUGGUGGUGCAUGGCCGUUCUUAGUUGGUGAAGUGAUUUGUCAGGUCUGUUCCGGUAACGAGCGAGACCGCGUCUGAAUAUUAUGUAAUUUGUUUGUGGCGGUGAUUCUGCGAGAAAAAUAUUUUUAUAUUUUUUAUGUGCCGUGUUUGAGUGGGUAUAUUUUUUAUUUUGAUUCGGCCGGCUUUGGACGGGGUAGGUUUUUUUUUAUUUUUAACUUGGCCGUAUAUCGCAGGCACAUUAAAAUAAAAAAUUCCAUCUAUCGAGAAUUCCCCGGCCAAACGCCAAAGUUAUAAAUUUUGGGACUACCGGCGGGAAGCCGAGGGGAAGUGCGGCUAUAACAGGUCUGUGAUGCCCUUAGAUGUCCUGGGUUGCACGCGAGCUACAAUGGCGGCAGGAGAAGGCGACUAGUUGUAAAAAAUUGGCAAAACCUGAAAUGCCGUCGUAAUGGGGACCAAGCCUUGUAAUUGUGGCUGGCGAAAGUGGAAUCCCUUGUAAACGCCGGUGACUAGCCGGCGUUGAAUACGUCUCUGCCUCUUGUAC
rnacentral:rRNA from 1 species